UCUCCAAAAAAGGUACAUAGAAGUGUUCCUGCCUCCCUAGAGGGAAGGAGAUGAGGUAUAAUCAACAAGAAAGCCAGAGACUUCAGACAGUCGGGGCCUGCAGAGGGCGCUCUUGGGUGUCUCGUUGAGGGGACAGGGACUAAAGUGUGGGUACAUCACUUACAUGCGUGGGUCAUCCUGGAGCCUCCUGGGAGUGUUAACAAUCCAUGUUUAGAAGAGGCAAACCUGGGGUCCCAAGAGGUAACAGCCAGUUACCACCCUCCCCAAAGCCAGAGACCUUUAAGCCCCUCUGUCAACUUCCUCUUCCCUACAGCCACCACCCACCAUUUUUGGCCUUGUUCACUAUUAAUUGUUCAGCAUGAAAUAAGCAUCCAUUUCAUCACUCCUGUACCCGCUGCAGCCUGACUUCUGUCACCUGCUGCCCCUUUCACUGCUCCCUGCAGCCUCUACCUCCCAGGCUGAGUCGAUCCUCCUAUCUCCGCCUCCUGAGUAGAUGGAACUACAGGCUUGUGUCACUACACCCGGCUAAUUUUUGUAUUUUUUAUAGAGACAGGCUUUUGGCAUGUUACACAGUCUGGUCUCAAUCUGCCAGCCUCAAGCCUUCCUCCCGACUCAGCCUCCCAAAGUGCUGGGAUUACAGGCGUGAGCCACUAUGCCCAGCCAUUAUUUUUUCUUUUUUAAAUAACAGAAAUAAGGUCUUAGUAUGUUGUCUAGGCUGGUCUGGAACUCCAGAGCUCAAGUGAUCCUCCCACUUCAGCCUCCCAAAGUGCUGGGAUGAUAGGUGUGAGCCACUGUGCCUGGCUUCACUUCACU
rnacentral:lncRNA from 1 species